rnacentral:rRNA from 1 species
GUUACAGCCGCCGCGGUAAUACAGAGGGGGCAAGCGUUAUUCGGAAUCAUUGGGCGUAAAGGGCGCGUAGGCGGCUGAGCAAGUCCUGGGUGAAAUCCCUCGGCCUAACCGAGGAACUGCCUUGGAAACUGCUCGGCUUGAGGCCGGGAGAGGGUGGUGGAAUUCCCAGUGUAGCGGUGAAAUGCGUAGAUAUUGGGAGGAACACCAGUGGCGAAGGCGGCCACCUGGACCGGUCCUGACGCUGAGGCGCGAAAGCGUGGGGAGCAAACAGGAUUAGAAACCCCAGUAGUCC